CGGCCUCCCAAGUAACUGGGACUGUAGGCACAUUCUGCCAUGCCCAGCUCUUAAUAUAAACUUUAAAAUGUGGCUGGAGAUUAUAAGGGCCCUAAAGCCUUUGCCUGCUUUGUAUUUUCUGCCAACCCCUCAUUUCCCAAUCUCUGCCAGAACCCCAGCAACUAAAAGAAAGGCGUCCAGUUUUCAGUUGUCAGAAUCCCUCACUAAGCAGGAUGCUCUGCACAGAGCCCUUUGCUGGGAAAUUCCUCUGGUUCCAUCUCUCUCCCAAUGUUUACUGACCAGGGAUCCUUCCUUUCUGCCUUUGUCCUUCCCUCUCUCCACUGCAGGGAGCAGCUUUGAGGUAUUUCCAGAGCCCCGGAGGUGCUGCAGCGAGUGGGCAAGCCCAGCUUUCUUAAGGACUUUUUGAUCCUGCUUCAGCUUCUGCUCCAAUGUGGGUAAAAACUUGCUUUUUAAAACUCUUCGGAUCACAUCAGUGCUGACAUCAAAGC
rnacentral:lncRNA from 1 species